rnacentral:rRNA from 1 species
GAUGAACGCUAGCGGGAGGCUUAAUACAUGCAAGUCGCGGGGUAACAGGUUCUUCGGAAUGCUGACGACCGGCGCACGGGUGCGUAACGCGUACACAAUCUACCGUAUAGAGGGGAGCAGCCUAUGGAAACGUAGAUUAAUGCCCCAUACGCUCUUAAAGUCGCAUGGCUUAAAGAGGAAAGGAGCGAUCCGCUAUAUGAUGAGUGUGCGUCCCAUUAGGUAGUUGGUGAGGUAACGGCUCACCAAGCCGACGAUGGGUAGCUGUUCUGAGAGGAAGAUCAGCCACACGGGCACUGAGACACGGGCCCGACUCCUACGGGAGGCAGCAGUAAGGAAUAUUGGGCAAUGGGGGCAACCCUGACCCAGCUAUCCCGCGUGUGGGAAGACGGCCCUAUGGGUUGUAAACCACUUUUACAAGGGAAGAAGGACACUGGUUUUGCAGUGUAUUGACGGUACCUUGGGAAUAAGCACCGGCUAACUCCG